GAUUUCUGGCUUGUAACAGCUUAUCGGCCACGGUUUCGUGUGUUAGUGCUUGAUGUUCUGGCCAUCCUUCCAAUCGCCAUCGGCUUAUCUUCAUUGAUCGGUCGGUGGUAUUGGAUCUUUUACUUUGAAAAAAUUAGAGUGUUUCAAGCAGGCUUUAUGCUAUGAAUACAUUAGCAUGGAAUAAUAAUUUAGGACUUCGGUUCUAUUUUGUUGGUUUCUAGGACUGAAGUAAUGAUUGAUAGGGAUAGUUGGGGGUGCUAGUAUUCAGCGGCCAGAGGUGAAAUUCUCGGAUUCGCUGAAGACUAACUUAUGCGAAAGCAUU
rnacentral:rRNA from 1 species